rnacentral:rRNA from 1 species
AUUGAACGCUGGCGGCAGGCCUAACACAUGCAAGUCGAGCGGAUGAAGGGAGCUUGCUCCUGGAUUCAGCGGCGGACGGGUGAGUAAUGCCUAGGAAUCUGCCUUGUAGUUGGGGAUAACGUCCGGAAACGGGCGCUAAUACCGCAUACGUCCUGAGGGAGAAAGUGGGGGAUCUUCGGACCUCACGCUAUCAGAUGAGCCUAGGUCGGAUUAGCUAGUUGGUGGGGUAAAGGCCUACCAAGGCGACGAUCCGUAACUGGUCUGAGAGGAUGAUCAGUCACACUGGAACUGAGACACGGUCCAGACUCCUACGGGAGGCAGCAGUGGGGAAUCUUCGACAAUGGGCGAAAGCCUGAUCCAGCCAUGCCGCGUGUGUGAAGAAGGUCUUCGGAUUGUAAAGCACUUUAAGUUGGGAGGAAGGGCAGUAAGUUAAUACCUUGCUGUUUUGACGUUACCAACAGAAUAAGCACCGGCUAACUUCGUG